AUGAAUUAAUGAUAUCACCAUGAUAGCAUCUCUCUUGCUGCUUCAUGCAGGGAAUCGUCGCCCUAUGGAGCGCAGCGAUUUUGCUGCUGGCAGUGCUGGUGUCCUGCUGGGAGCUGCACCCCCUGUGCUCUGAGGAGCAGAGGGCAGGACAAGGGCCACGCCAGGAGGAUUUCUUCUCAAUCAGCUUUGAUAAUUAUGAUACACCCCGCUGCGUUCUGGGCCUUCAGCUCCAGUUUUGGCUGUAGGAAAAAAGAAAGGGCCCUCCUGGCUCCCAGGCUGAGCAGCUCCAACGCCUGCCUUUACAAUACUGCUACAGUCAGACAUGAAAUCUUAAUGCACGAUAGUGCCUCAAAUCUUACAUUCUUCUGAAAAAGGGAGUAAAGCAAUCUCAUGAGCUUUUAUGUGUCCUCCUAAAGACAGAAAAAUCACAGAUGACUGGAUCUGAUGUGAUCCCCACUUCCAGCACUGCUUUAAUUCCUGACCUACCACGUCAUGAGCUCCAAAACACACACAAAUUACCUUGUCAACCUUGAGAUGCUCAUUUGGACUGGAAGGCAAUAACUAGCAAGAAAAGCAAGCUAAAAUGGCAAAGAAGGUCACUUCUGAGGCUCGGCCAGUGGGUGAUGCAAGAACAGCCCCUGCUGCAGGAGCCCAUGUCCCCAUCUGCCCUUCUCCAGCUCUGAGAAACAUGGGGAAGAAAGAGAGAAACUGGCUCAGCAGACAGGUGGGAGAACCCAUGCUCUUCCCUAUCCCAGAGUUUUGUAACGUUUCACAGGUUGCUUAAAUAAAAUAAAAUAAAAAAGCAAAUGGCAAAAGGUUAUUUUCUGUGCUUAAAUGCCAGCAUCUUCUGCGUGCUUUGACUCCAGCUGAGUGGCGACAGCAUCCCACCCGUCAAGGCCUUCUCUCAGCCUGAGCAGAAGCAUACGCUGCUGGUCUGUUCUUGUAAGGGCUUUGGAUGCCUGCUUCUGGCCUGACACCCCUGGGAUGCAGGGGAACAAAUCCCAGCAGCAUUAUUUAUUUAUUU